rnacentral:rRNA from 1 species
AACGAACGCUGGCGGCAUGCCUAACACAUGCAAGUCGAACGAGACCUUCGGGUCUAGUGGCGCACGGGUGCGUAACGCGUGGGAAUCUGCCCUUGGGUUCGGAAUAACAGUUGGAAACGACUGCUAAUACCGGAUGAUGACGUAAGUCCAAAGAUUUAUCGCCCAAGGAUGAGCCCGCGUAGGAUUAGCUAGUUGGUGAGGUAAAGGCUCACCAAGGCGACGAUCCUUAGCUGGUCUGAGAGGAUGAUCAGCCACACUGGGACUGAGACACGGCCCAGACUCCUACGGGAGGCAGCAGUGGGGAAUAUUGGACAAUGGGCGAAAGCCUGAUCCAGCAAUGCCGCGUGAGUGAUGAAGGCCUUAGGGUUGUAAAGCUCUUUUACCUGGGAUGAUAAUGACAGUACCGGGAGAAUAAGCUCCGGCUAACUCCGUG